CCAGCUCGAUCACCUCUGGCUCUGAAGCUUUAGCAGGCCCCGAGGUAGGAGCUGGGGCCGGUUGUUGAGGUGGUUCAGGAUAUUGCACAGGGCAGACACUAGUU
rnacentral:miRNA from 1 species